UGCAAUAUAAAAAUUCAUGUGACAUCCCUCGUAUCUCACCUACCACGUCUUGAUGUUAAAGGGUUUAUACUGGGAGGGUGCAACUUAAACAUCACUGGCUAAUGAGGUACUGAUCAAUUCCCUUGAGGUUUUGAACUUUCUCAUAAAACAAUCUGGUUGACCAUAAAAAAUGAAAACUCAGAGUGUGUUCUUUAUGAUAAGGUUCUUUUAUUAGGUAUCUCUCUAACUUUUUUCCAUUGUUUUCUUUUGUUUCUUAGGUAUCACCACAUCCUGGGCUAAAGGAAAUAACAGAAGCCUGUUCCCCAAGCUACUGAUCAACGUUUUCUCCAGUGGAGAGCUGAUCUGCCUUGCUAAAAGCUGGCUGCAACUAUGGACUACAAAUCUAAUCUAUGGAAGCAGGAGGAGAAAGUGAUGAGCAACCCUGCAGAGUACUGCUGCUGUGAUUCUGGACUGCAAAUCCUAGAGACCUUGGGAGAAACAGAAAGAGGAAGUAGACACACAGCCCAUGCUGGCUACAUGCCAAACAGCCAUGUUCUAGUGCCACCUGGCUUCUGGUCUGAUCCACUGCAGACCAACAUGGCUACCAAGCACACCCCUGAAAUAUGGAAGAUGCUGAAUUUAAGCCAAUUUUGGAUUUUAAACUUCAUUGCAGAACAACAAGAAAGAUGUUUUACCGCCCUGCCUGCCAUCUGACACCUCCAGGGAAGGAAUUCUACCUGAUCAACACAUCAAAGAGCUACUCAACACAGCUCACAUACUAUCAUGUUCCCAGAGGGAUAGCCUUCCAUGUUCAGUUCCCUGUGUGCAAAAAUGAAGUUUAUUUCCUACCUAUGGGGCCUUUUUACCAUCCUGAAACAUCUAUAUUUUUCCCAGAGCCUGAAGAAGGGACUUUGAUCCCAAAAGCUUGCAGAAAAGGACAAUUUUCUUGUGAUUUCCCAGUCUAAUAAAAAGUAUCAUU